rnacentral:lncRNA from 1 species
GGCUGCUCUCCAAUUCUGGAACAGGCUCGAACAAGCUCUCCAUUUGGGAGCAGCUGGGAGCUACCCUCAUUUUUUGCUAGGAGUUAGUCUCCCUCGUGUGCAUACCACGGGAAUGCCUUCAUGCCUGCUACUGGUUUUGGUCUGGGGCCAAUCAGCUCUGCUUACCCACCUCUCUGCUUGAGCAUUACUGGGCUACGUGGCUUCCAGGAGUUGUCACCAGCCCAACAAGGCAGGUAGGGCCGGAAAGCAUCCCCGACAGUGGCUGUGGUUGUGGUUUAGCACCUUGCCUGCGUGUGCGCAAACUGAGCUCUAGGACUGGCAAACCUUCUCAUGUAAGGAUGUGAGUCAAGGAGAUCUGCAUCCCUGCAAGUUCUUUGGUGCUUCCUCGGCUUGGUUCUGCAGAUGAACAAAACUGCUGGUUGGGAUUACUUCUUGGACACUGCAGACAUUGUUUCCAUCAGAUAGAUAACCCAGAGAGGACACCACAAAUCACAGAUCCAACUGAGAAUAAAACUUGGUGUUGCAACUUUGAGCCACAUAUAAUGAAAAGAAAACCUAAAAGGGAAAGGCGGAAGAGGGGAAAAUAUAGGAGAAGACAGGAUGGAAGGAGAAGAGGAAGAGGAAAUUUCAUAUAUUUUUCCCUUGAAACUAAGAAGCAUUCAUUUCUGGAAUUUUCAUAUAAAAGUAAAUCAAGAUUCAUGUUUAUGUUGAAGAAAAGAUGUAUAUACCUUUAAUUUAUAAUUUGUCAAUCAUAUGUUACACCUGUUUAUCGGCCCUGAAAAUCUUUCCAACUAUUUUAUAUUUCCAAAAAAUAUCCUAAACGGUUAGGAUUCAUGCCAUUAAGGUAAUUUCCCAGGAAAUAAGUUUAAUAGAUAUGUAUUAUAUAUAGUCUACAAUAUAUAUCUAUAUUAACUAUAUCUAUCUUUACCAAUUUUACUGUUAGCAUAUUUAAUGUGAUUUUUAAAUUAAAAAAUUUGGUGUCCAAGGUGUGUUAAAAUCAUUUGGUUACCUAUUAAAACAAACGACCCACAUGUUUAAGUUAGAAAGUUAACCCACUUAUAUAAUUUAAUAAAAAUGCGUUUAGUCUAAAUAUAUACCUGCCA